rnacentral:rRNA from 1 species
GACGUAGGUGGCCAGCGUUGCUCGGAAUUACUGGGCGUAAAGGGUUCGUAGGCGGUGUGGCAAGUCGGGAGUGAAAUCUCUGGGCUUAACUCAGAGGCUGCUUCCGAAACUGCCGUGCUAGAGUGCGGGAGAGGCGAGUGGAAUUCCUGGUGUAGCGGUGAAAUGCGCAGAUAUCAGGAGGAACACCGGUGGCGAAGGCGGCUCACUGGUCCGGUACUGACGCUGAGGUGCGAAAGCGUGGGGAGCAAACAGG